GGCCCGGGGCCCCGCAGCGCCGGGCACCUCAGGCCUCGACCCCCGCAGGCCUCGACCCCCCGGCCCGGGGCCCCGCAGCGCCGGGCAGCUCGCGUUCUUUCCAAGUGUCCCACCCUCAUAAAACGGAUUUCCCUGGGUUGGUUUUGGCCAUGAGAACAGCCAUACCAGGUCAGACCAAAGUCCAUCCAGCCCAGUGUCCUGUCUGCUGACAGUGGCCAAAGCCAAGUGCCCCAGAGGAAUGAACGGACCAGGUCAUCACCGAGUGAUUCAUCCCUUUUCAUCCACUCCCAACUUCUAUACCAGUAUAGAUCGCCUGGUAGAGCUGCACCAGCAGACCUCUAGGGAAGAUGCAGUUUAUAUGGCAAGGGAGAGCUUUUGCCAUUCAAGCUUAAACCAGUUCCCUGAAAGGAAUAAGCUAUUCUGGCAAAAAGGAUUUAUUGCUGUCUAACUGCUUCUCCGCUAGGGCUCUUUUGCAACCAUAGCUAGUCAGUUGGGGGUGAUUUUUCCUUCCUUGUCAGUCAGUCAAACUCAAUCUGUUGUUGUCUCCCUUCUGGAUCCUUCCCAUCUGUACUUAAAUUUGCUGUUUUCCUUUAUCCUAAAGCAAUCUUCAUUCAACCCCAUAUUCUCCUCCCCUUUGUUGCUAAGCACCCUGUGUAGACUGUCCCUUCUCAUGGGGUGGACUUCUCUUACGCCCUUCUCUGUCUGUUUUCACUUUCUCUGCUGCACUAAAAUGAAUUGCCUCUUUUCCAAAUCAGAGGCCAUGUCUACACUACAACCUUUGGUCAACACAAGUUAUGGUAGGAUACAGCUACUUAAGUUUGUAUAUUACCUGGGUGCAUACAUUCUUGGCUGCUUGCAUUGGUGAUGCACCAUGGACCUUCAUGCUGGAAGUAGGGAUGCGGAGAGUGACUUCCAUUAUAUACAGGGCUUACAGUUUGGUUCAAUGGCUCUCAGCACCCCCACUAUACAAAUUGUUCCAGCACCUUGCAGAUCUUCAGGGAGUACUGCAACAACUGGGAUCACAAUGAGGAAGAUGAGGAUAUCUUUGAGGAGAGAUUGCUGAUGGACAUAGCAAAAAAAAUAAUAAUCCCAGAUUGCUUGUGGCAUUCAUGGAGCAGCUGCAGAAUGUGGAGUAUUUCUUCUGGGCCUAAGAAACAAGCACUGAUUGGUGGGAAUGCACAUAAUGCAGAUUUGGGACAAUAAGCAGUGGCUGCAGAACUUUUGGAUGCAAAAGGCCACAUUCGUGGAUCUGUGCCAUCCUCAUCCCAGCCUUCCAGUGCAGGGACAGAACGAGAGCUCAUUGACCAUGAAGAAGUGAGUGGUGAUCGUGUUCAGGAAGGUUAAAGCACUGGAUUGCAACUGGUUAGUGGGAAAUCAUUUUGAAGUUAGAAAAUCCAUAGUGGGGGCCAUUGUCAUCCAAGGCCAUUGAAUGCUGUGCAAGACUGUGACUCCCAGCAAUAUGCAACAAAUGGUGGAUGGAUUUGCAAAAAUGGGGUUCCCAACGGUGGUGUAGGAAUAGACAGAAUGCACAUCCCUACCUUGGUGCCAGCCCACCCCCUUACAGAAUACAUCGACAGAAAGGCCUACUUUUCUAUAGUUAUGCAAAUGCUAUUAGAUCCCUGGGGACGCUUCACUGAUAUCAAUUAAGGUUGGUCAGGGAAGGUGCAUGACGCAUCUUUAAGAUCACAGAAUUGUUCAGAAAGCUGCAAGCAGGGACAUUCUUUCCUUGGUGGCUGAUUAACAUUGGCAGUGGUAAUUUGAGCUGAUUUAUCUCACUUCUGAGGAUCACAAAGGCGCAGAGAAUCCAGAUGAUAGUGGUGUCCUGAAGCCACCUAGGCCCGUAAGCUAUUAGCCUGUUUAUGGCAAUGGUGUCAGCUGAACUCUUUGCAGAGUGUCAUGGGAAAGUGUCUUACUGCACAGGGAGAAAUAAGGCUACCCUUCCUAGACACGUUCAGGAGAGGAUUGCACAGUAUCUCCAUGAAAGUAAUCAAGAUCUCUCAAGAUGAUAAAAAGGGACAUUCCUAGUCACAUAAACAAACUGCUUCGUCUUCCCCGCCCAGUCCCCUCCUGCCUAGCCCAACAAGGGAAUGAAAAACAGAUGAUGACUCUACCUCUGGUUGUCCUACAUCAGUGGUUCCCAAACUGGGGUUUGUGAACCCCUGGGGGUUCGCAGAAUGUUACAGGAAGGUUCUCCAGAAAAAUUUAAUUAAUGGCAGCCAGAGGACCCCGGGCAUUGGAGGCAGCAGGUGGGACCCGGUUGCAGGGCAGACAGCCCGAGCCCCAGGAGGAGCAGGGUAAAGAUGCAAGAAUCAGCAGUUUUUUUCCACCAAAUG